rnacentral:rRNA from 1 species
AACGAACGCUGGCGGCGUGCCUAACACAUGCAAGUCGAACGUGGAAGUCCCUCGGGGCGAGUAAAGUGGCGCACGGGUGAGUAACGCGUAGAUAAUCUGCCUGAUGAUCUGGGAUAACAUCUCGAAAGGGGUGCUAAUACCGGAUAAGCCCACGGAGUCUUCGGAUUCUGCGGGAAAAGGGGGGGACCUUCGGGCCUCCUGUCAUCAGAUGAGUCUGCGUACCAUUAGCUAGUUGGUAGGGUAAAAGCCUACCAAGGCGACGAUGGUUAGCUGGUCUGAGAGGAUGAUCAGCCACACUGGAACUGAGACACGGUCCAGACUCCUACGGGAGGCAGCAGUGGGGAAUUUUGCGCAAUGGGGGAAACCCUGACGCAGCAACGCCGCGUGAGUGAUGAAGGCCUUCGGGUCGUAAAGCUCUGUCAGAGGGAAAGAAAUGUAUUGAGGCUAAUAUCCACGAUACUUGACGGUACCCUCAAAGGAAGCACCGCCUAACUCCGUGCCAGCCGCCGCAGUAA